GUCCCAUUUUUAACACUAUAAAAUCCCAUUUUAAAACCCUAAACUCAUUUUCCUUCUUCCUUUGAAGCUGCGCCGUAUCUCUGCCUCUGAAAACUCCUCCCCUGCUCCGAUGGCGACGAAACAAAGGAGCUUCAACGACGCCACACCGGUAUGGAGAUCGUGGAAUGAGUGCGUCGUGGGUGAUGACGGUUGCUGCAACGUGGGCUGUUGGGCGUUCGUGCGCGAAGACAGUUGUUGCGGCACCAAGGCUGGGAAGGAAACUGCUGCUGCAGCACUGAGGCGAAAAGGCUUUGCUGGGUUUAUUGGGCUAGGUUAGAUUUAGUUUUAGGCUAAUGUAAUUGGGUUAUAAUUUGGGCUUGUUAUUUAUUUUUUAACCAGGCCAAAAUUGGCCUAUUACAUAUAUAUAUAUAUAUAUAUAAAUAGAAACACCCAAAAAUUUAAGAUAAUAAAUUUCAUCUUUUCUCA